rnacentral:pre_miRNA from 1 species
AAAAAGACAAACACUGGGUUUCCGUGUCCAAGUUUUAUCAUCCGUCUUAUUUGAAAAAAUUAUGAAAAAAAUUAAAAAGACAAGUCACGCAUAAAGUAUUAAGCAUGUUUUAUCAUCUAACAACAAUGAAAAUACUAAUUAUAAAAAAAUUUCAUAUAAGACGAACAGUCAAAUGUUGGACACGGAAACCCAGGGUUUGUCUUUUU